rnacentral:rRNA from 1 species
CAGUAGCCACGGGAAUACGGAGGAUCCAAGCGUUAUCCGGAAUCAUUGGGUUUAAAGGGUCCGUAGGCGGUCUUGUAAGUCAGUGGUGAAAGCCCAUCGCUCAACGGUGGAACGGCCAUUGAUACUGCAGGACUUGAAUUAUUGGGAAGUAACUAGAAUAUGUAGUGUAGCGGUGAAAUGCUUAGAGAUUACAUGGAAUACCAAUUGCGAAGGCAGGUUACUACCAAUUGAUUGACGCUGAUGGACGAAAGCGUGGGUAGCGAACAGGAUUAGAUACCCCAGUAGUCCCUGUCUCUUAUAC